CGAACGUACGGAUUAUUGGGUUAAGGGUGCGUAGGCGGGCGCAUAAGUCAGUGGUGAAAUACUCCGGCUCAACCGGGGAGGUGCCAUUGAUACUGUGUGUCUUGAGUGUAUUUGAGGUAGGCGGAAUGUGUGGUGUAGCGGUGAAAUGCUUAGAUAUCACACAGAACACCGAUUGCGAAGGCAGCUUACUAAGAUAUAACUGACGCUGAAGCACGAAAGUGUGGGGAUCAAACAGGAUUAGAUACCCUGGUAGUCCACACCGUAAACGAUGAUUACUGGAUGUUUGCCCACUUUGGGGUGAGCGUCUCAAGCGAAAGCAUUAAGUAAUCCACCUGGGGAGUACGUCGGCAACGAUGAAACUCAAAGGAAUUGACGGGGGCCCGCACAAGCGGAGGAACAUGUGGUUUAAUUCGAUGAUACGCGAGGAACCUUACCCGGGCUAGAACGUAGGGAGACCGAUGGGGAAACUCAUUUUUCAGCAAUGACUGCCUACGAGGUGCUGCAUGGUUGUCGUCAGCUCGUGCCGUGAGGUGUCGGCUUAAGUGCCAUAACGAGCGCAACCCUUAUUGUUAGUUGCCAGCGGGUCAAGCCGGGGACUCUAGCAAAACUGCCAGCGUAAGCUGUGAGGAAGGUGGGGAUGACGUCAAAUCAGCACGGCCCUUACGUCCGGGGCGACACACGUGUUACAAUGGAUGGUACAGAAGGUCGCUACCACGCGAGUGGAUGCUAAUCUUAAAAGCCAUUCUCAGUUCGGAUUGGAGUCUGCAACUCGACUCCAUGAAGCUGGAUUCGCUAGUAAUCGCGCAUCAGCCAUGGCG
rnacentral:rRNA from 1 species